rnacentral:rRNA from 1 species
ACGAGAAAGUACCUUCGGGUGCGAGUAAAGUGGCGGACGGGUGAGUAACGCGUGGGAAUCUGCCUAGUAGUGGGGGAUAACAAUCGGAAACGGUUGCUAAUACCGCAUGUACCCUACGGGGGAAAGGCUUCGGCCGCUAUUAGAUGAGCCCGCGUAAGAUUAGCUUGUUGGUGGGGUAAAGGCCUACCAAGGCGACGAUCUUUAGCGGGUCUGAGAGGACGAUCCGCCACACUGGGACUGAGACACGGCCCAGACUCC